rnacentral:rRNA from 1 species
AGUGAACGCUGGCGGUAGGCCUAACACAUGCAAGUCGAACGGCAGCACAGAGGAGCUUGCUCCUUGGGUGGCGGGUGGCGGACGGGUGAGGAAUACAUCGGAAUCUACUCUGUCAUGGGGGAUAACGUAGGGAAACUUACGCUAAUACCGCAUACGACCUACGGGUGAAAGCAGGGGAUCUUCGGACCUUGCGCGAUUGAAUGAGCCGACGUCGGAUUAGCUAGUUGGCGGGGUAAAGGCCCACCAAGGCGACGAUCCGUAGCUGGUCUGAGAGGAUGAUCAGCCACACUGGAACUGAGACACGGUCCAGACUCCUACGGGAGGCAGCAGUGGGGAAGAUUGGACAAUGGGCGCAAGCCUGAUCCAGCCAUACCGCGUGGGUGAAGAAGGCCUUCGGGUUGUAAAGCCCUUUUGUUGGGAAAGAAAUCCAUCUGGUUAAUACCCGGGUGGGAUGACGGUACCCAAAGAAUAAGCACCGGCUAACUUCGUGCCAGCCGCCGCCGUAA